GNNUUUCGUCAAUGGGCGCAAGCCUGACGAGCAACGCCGCGUGGAGGAUGACGGCCUUCGGGUUGUAAACUCCUUUUGGGGGGGACGAUGAUGACGGUACCCCUUGAAUAAGGCUCGGCUAACUCUGUGCCAGCAGCCGCGGUAAUACAGAGGAGCCAAGCGUUGUCCGGAUUGACNUGGGCGUAAAGCGCACGCAGGCGGUCGCGCGCGUGGGGUGUGAAAUCUGGCCGCUUAACGGCCAGGCGCCAUCCCAUACGGCGCGACUGGAGCCUUGCAGAGGUCGGUGGAAUUGCCGGUGUAGUGGUGAAAUGCGUAGAGAUCGGCAGGAACACCCAGGGGGAAACCAGCCGACUGGGCAAGCGCUGACGCUGAGGUGCGAGAGCGUGGGGAGCGAACCGGAUUAGAUACCCGGGUAGUCCACGCCGUAAACGAUGGCCACUCGGCCUUUGGGGGCGGAAUCUCCGUCCGUGGGGGCCUUAGCAAACGCGGGAAGUGGCCCGCCUGGGAACUACGAGCGCAAGCUUAAAACUCAAAGGAAUUGACGGA
rnacentral:rRNA from 1 species